GAGCGACUUGGACGAGAGUGAGGAGGAGAGUUCAGAGAUGGAUGAUGAGGACUGUGAGAGGAGGAGAGGAGAGUGUCUAGACGAGAUGUCAGAUCUGGAGAAACAGUUCCUGGAACUUAAAGACAAGUUGUUUCAUGAGCGGUUGAACCAGGUUAAGGUGAAGCUAGAUGAGGUGUUGACUGGUAAAGCAGGAGAAUAUAGAGAACCACUGGCAACACUACAACACAACAUGACACUACGCACCCAGGUG